CCUACGGGUGGCUGCAGUGGGGAAUAUUGGACAAUGGGGGGAACCCUGAUCCAGCCAUGCCGCGUGUGUGAAGAAGGCCCUCGGGUUGUAAAGCACUUUCAGUGAGGAAGAACGCCUGGUGGUUAAUACCCAUCAGGAAAGACAUCACUCACAGAAGAAGCACCGGCUAACUCCGUGCCAGCAGCCGCGGUAAUACGGAGGGUGCGAGCGUUAAUCGGAAUUACUGGGCGUAAAGCGCGCGUAGGUGGCUUGAUAAGCCGGUUGUGAAAGCCCCGGGCUCAGCCUGGGAACGGCAUCCGGAACUGUCAAGCUAGAGUGCAGGAGAGGAAGGUAGAAUUCCCGGUGUAGCGGUGAAAUGCGUAGAGAUCGGGAGGAAUACCAGUGGCGAAGGCGGCCUUCUGGACUGACACUGACACUGAGGUGCGAAAGCGUGGGUAGCAAACAGGAUUAGAUACCCUUGUAGUC
rnacentral:rRNA from 1 species